ensembl:lncRNA
AGCCUAUUAGGGAUACAAACCAGACCAUUUUCAAAUUGAACCUUAUUGAAUGAAAGAAGAGAGGGAGGGAGAAAUAAAAGCCAGCUACCAAUUUCGUCCAUUUAACUGACUCUUAAAUCAGACUUGAUUGAAAGGGAACAAAGAGAAUUAGAAAAAGCAGCUCUUUUGAUGAUACACACAGGAUAUGAUGACAUUCAGCAGUUCUGCUCUGACACUGAAGCCACCGGCAAUGCAUGUUUGCAUGAUGGCCAUAAGGACACGACAGAAUCUCCCAGUGCAUCCUUGUGAACCGGGUCAAAGUUUUUUCCCCCAAAUGGCUCUGUAAGCUAUGGAUGGCAAAAGACAAUCCAGAUUGGGACUUGAGGUGAUGUGGCGUCACCUAUUGCAAUUCCUCCAUGAGCACCCCGGGCUGCGAGCGCAGGCUGUGUUCAGUGAACCUCCUGGGGCAGGAAGGGCUAACAACCCUUGCAUUGAUCCAAGGAGACACUCAGCCCUCUAACCUGCUGAGUGCUCAGUUCAGGAGAACAAUGGAGUUCAGCACACAUCAAUACAGCAGCAGCCUAUUGAGCGCACUCCGUUUAGUAAAGCCGACUGAUGAGGUUGAAGCUCCCGAGAACCUUCAGUGUCUGUAAAAAAAAAACCCUUUCUUUCCAUCGCUCUGAAAGGACAAAAAGACUUGAGCCAACUUGUGUUCCCAGCUCCAGCUUUCCAGCAUCUUAACCUGUUACUAUGAAUCACGUUGGGCCAAAAUGACCGGUAAGCCUCACCUACAGUACCACUCAAAGAGUUGGAGAUUGGGAUGGAAGAGGCUUUCUGGGCAGGAAUGCACUGCUUGUCCCAUAAGACACUAAAUGAUGUACAAGUGCAUUUAUUACAGCAGCCCCUAUAAAUCUGAGCCUGGCCUGAACUCCGGGGAGAGGUUAAUGGAUUACAAAGGGAUGCGGUAUCGAACCUUUGAGAAGUUUAUACACCACAUCAAUAUGUGCAAGGCUAUUGAUCAUUUAGACCUUGACAGACAAAUUAAAUUCAUAAACUUGAUAAUGCACUGGAAUAUUUGUAUUGCUUACUACAGUGGAACGGGGCC